AUACAGAGGGUGCAAGCGUUAAUCGGAAUUACUGGGCGUAAAGCGCGCGUAGGUGGUUAGUUAAGUUGGAUGUGAAAGCCCUGGGCUCAACCUGGGAAUGGCAUUCAAAACUGGCUGACUAGAGUAUGAUAGAGGGAAGGGGAAUUCCAGGUGUAGCGGUGAAAUGCGUAGAUAUCUGGAGGAACAUCAGUGGCGAAGGCGCCUUCCUGGACUAAUACUGACACUGAGGUGCGAAAGCGUGGGUAGCAAACAGAAUUAGAAACCCCAGUAGUCC
rnacentral:rRNA from 1 species